UAGGGAAUAUUGGGCAAUGGUCGAGAGACUGACCCAGCCAUGCCGCGUGCAGGAAGAAGGCGCUACGCGUCGUAAACUGCUUUUGUCGGGGAAGAAAAUACUCUUGCGAGAGUGACUGACGGUACCCGACGAAUCAGCACCGGCUAACUCCGUGCCAGCAGCCGCGGUAAUACGGAGGGUGCAAGCGUUGUCCGGAUUCAUUGGGUUUAAAGGGUGCGCAGGCGGGAAAUUAAGUCCGGGGUGAAAGACGGUUGCUCAACAAUCGCAGUGCCUUGGAUACUGGUUUUCUUGGGUGAAGUUGAGGUGGGCGGAAUUCAAGGUGUAGCGGUGAAAUGCAUAGAUACCUUGAAGAACUCCGAUUGCGAAGGCAGCCCACUGGACUUCUACCGACGCUCAGGCACGAAAGCGUGGGGAUCAAACAG
rnacentral:rRNA from 1 species